AAAAAACAUCCAAAAAUAUAUUAUAAAGUAAUUCAAAGGGGUUAUUAAGGAAAACUAAGGCAAAUUUAUAAAAAAAGGAGGUCUAAUACCAAAAGCUUACUAACAAUUAACUAUUAAGUAAGCGCUCCUAAGGUAAACCUUAUUAAUCAAUUACUUCCUGAAGUAAAACAUUUUAUUAGGGAAAGGAAAGGAAAUCAACCGAGACUCCGAAAGUAAUGGUGAGUGAAAUCGGAUUAGCCUAAUUAAUUAAUAAAUUGAAAAACUUAAGUAUUUAGCAACGAAGAACUCUCUCUCCUUCUCUCUCUCCUUCUUCAUAAGUAGUUUCCUUUAUCUUUUUAGAAUAUAGAACUCUUUAUUUUCAAUUUAGAAAAAAAAGACUUACAAAAAGACUUUCUUAGAAGUACUAAGUACGAACUAGAAGAAGGGCUUGUUGCAAAAAUAUAUUAGUUAGUAAUACUUUACUUUAAAGUGGUGUAGACUUCCCUAUUCCAAAAAGAAGUGUUACUCUAAAGAAGGUGAAAAACUAUAAGACCUGUAGGUUUAUUAAUUAAUAUUAGCCCUUUUUAGAAGAGAAAAUCCUCUUAGGGAUUAAUAACCCCUUGUUUAGAUUAAAAUCCAGGGUUUAAUAACAGGGACUUCAUAAAAGGGGAAUCAGAUAAAUACUCCUCCUACGGACUCCUACUUUACUUAACUGAAUGAAGGAGUUCUAUAUUCUAAAAAGACUGCCUUCUUUUUAGAAUUAUAGUCCAAAUCCCCUUUUUUCUUUCUAGAAUAUAGAAUAAAGAAUAAAGGGGCUCUUUUCUUGGAGGGGGUAAAUUUAUUUAAAUAAAGUACGAUGAGAGAAAACUUGUCGGAAUAUAGGGGUACCAUCCUCUAAGGCUAAGUAUUAUAAAUUUAGCGAUAGUGAAUAAGUACUGUAAAGGAAAAGUUUGAAAAGCGAGUGGUAUACAAAAAUGAAUUUUUAAAAUAUCCCUUUUGGUUUACAGAAGAAAAGAAUCCCCUUAAAGGUAAUUAGGGCAAGGUAUUCUUAAUUCUUCUUUUCAUUUAAUCCGAAGAACAUUUAAGAAUGAAUUGGUGAAAUAGAUCUUGAAUUAGUAACUCUAUAAGCAGUCGAAAUUCUACAAGAAGAAUGACGGCGUACCUUUUGCAUAAUGGGUCAGCAAGUUAAUAGGAGUAGCAAGGUUUUAAGCCUUAGCGAAAGCGACUGGACUAUAAUUUAAAAAUACUCCUAGUCUAGAAAAAAUUUGUGGACAAAAAAAUAAGUACACAUAGUGAUGGGUCAGUUACUUCUAUUAGACCCGAAGCCAGGUGAUCUUACCAAGACCAGAUUAUAAUAGAUCGAACGGGUGAAUGUUGCAUAAUUCUCCGAUGAGUUUUGGUAAGCGGUGAAAUGCCAAUCUGACCUGGUGCUAGCUGGUUUUCUACCGAAACAUAUUUAAGUAUGACGUCUACACAAAAUUUAUGGAGGUACAGCAAGGCAAUUCCCAACAAGUUUAAGGGUUGUGUACGAAGUGCUCUCCUUAAGGAGCCAUUGACUCAUAAAGUUUUGAACACAUCAGCCUUUUAGGCGUUUAGGUUGCGGGGACCUCGAAAAUCUUACCUUUGGAAGCGAAUCUCGGAAUUACAUAAAUUGAUGGUAGAUAUUCAGACUACUCAUGCUAAGUUGGGUAGUCAAGACGGAAACAGCCGAGAACACUGAUCAAGGUCCCAAAUGAUUGUUAAGUGAAAUUAAGGACGUAGCAAUAUCGUAUACAGCUGUGAAGUGAGCCUGGCAGUCGCUACUUUUAAUGAUCGUAUGUAACAACGCAUCAGCAGUUUAGAUAGUAGCGCCGAAAAUUUAACGGGUCUUAAACAAUCAACCGAUAUCGUGUUGGUUUAUAUUAUACUAAACCUAGGUAGUAGAACAUUCAGUCAAACCCAUUAUAAAAUAGUGUUUCAUUAUUUUUUAGGUUACUGAAGAGAGAAUGCUGACAUGAGUAACGUAAAAAGAAGUUAUAAUACUUCUCGCCGAAUACGAAAGGGUUGCAAAUAGGAAAGGUUAAUCCGUUUUGUUUGAAUGCGGCCUCUAAGGACCAAAACCAAAGUUUUGGCUGAUGAGUAUAUAAUAGAAAGUCCAUUUUUUUAGUGGACCAGGAAAUGAAUAUUAUAAGUAAUAACAUUUUAAUGUAUAACUGCCCACCUUACUGCCCCCUUAUUCCCCCCUUAUUAUUAUUAAUACCUUCAUGGUAUUCUUAUCUCCGGAGGAAUCCGGAGGAAUCCGGAGGAAUCCGGAGGAAUCCGGAGGAAUCCGGAGGAAGGGAUUUUUUGUAGUCCUGGACCACAAAAAAGGGUUGGAGGAUUAUUAAGGCAUUCGGAUUAUGCUAACAAUAAUCUUUCCAAGAAAGCCCAGCAUCUUAAUUAAAUAUAACUUAUUAAAUAUACUAAAAAGAAAUACAAUCGAAAAAAAAAUGAAUAAAAUUAAAAAAGAACAAUUAAUAGGAAUAAGUCCUAAUAGCAAAUUAUUUAAAGAAUACAAAGAAUCUCUUAAAGCACUAUCUAAUAUACAAUGGGAUUCCUCCAUUGGCUUAAUGUUAGCCCUUGGCCCGACCCGGCCAAGGGGAGGGCGAGAUGCUAGUUUACAAACUCAAAAUAAUGGUAAAACAUAUAGAUUAAAAUUUGAGUGGAGCGAUAGGAAUAAAGCUUAUGUGAAUCAUGUUUAUGAUUUAUUUAAUGAAUGGGUAAUUUCACCUCCUCACCCCUGCCCUUGCCCUCAUAGCCAAGGGCGGGGCAAGGGUAAAAAAGUCAGAACAAGUCCUAAGGGAAACCUAGUCUGUAAUUUAGGGUUUCAAACUAUUAGUCAUCAAGCUUUUAAUCCUUUAGCCCCUCGGCCCGCACCCGGUCCGGGGGCAAGGGCUAAAUUAUUUAUUUAUGAAAAUAAAAAAAGCAUUAAAGAGUCAUUAAUUAAAAAUCAUUUAACUGAGAGAGGAUUAGCUUAUUGGUUUAUGGACGACGGUGGGAAAUUGGACUCGAUGUCGACUCAUCCUAUCCUCCGGGGGAAGAAGCUUGGAAGGGUUCGGCUGUUCGCCGAUUAAAAGGGUACGUGAGUUGGGUUUAAUACGACGUGAGUCAGUAUGGUCCCUAUCUUCUGGAGGGAGAAUAAGUAAAAAGGGGCAGACCUUCUAGUACGAAAGGAUCAAUAGGAUGUGUUUCUCUAGUGUACCAAUUGUUGGUACUAUUUUGUUUAAGACCCCUAUCUCUCCUUCUCUUUUGGAAUCAAGGAAGAUGAAAGAUAAGUGGGUAAAAUCCUUUUGAACUUUAAAGCUAAAAAGUUCUUUAUCUUAAAUACCUUAAAGGUAUAGAUCAAAGGUCACAAAGUGGGAACGCAUAGUUGGGUAGCCACAAACAUAAUAGAUAAGUGCUGAAUGUCUAUUAAGCAAGAAUCUAACCCCUAGAUACUUUAAAUAUGAUUAUUUAUCUUAAUUAAAAAGAUUUUUUUGUACCUAGUACGUAGUAUGUAGUACAUAGUUACUCCUUUUUUAUCGAAAGGUAAGGCACCACCUAGCCUUUUUGGAACAGAAAGAGUCCCCUGUAGCAUCCCUGGAUUCCAAAGGGGUUAUACGAGGGGAGAGGAGUAUUAUUGAGUAUAAUUUAGAUUAAAGAUCAUUAAUUAAGAAAUAGAACAUUUCUAGAUAGGCUGCAAAUAUACCUAUUGUAAAAUAGUUAGUUUAGCAGUACUAAUUUAUAAAAAAAACUAGAUGCCAG
rnacentral:rRNA from 1 species